rnacentral:rRNA from 1 species
UACGUAGGGGGCGAGCGUUGUCCGGAUUCAUUGGGCGUAAAGCGCGCGUAGGCGGCUCCGCAAGUCGGCCGUGAAAUCUCCGGGCUCAACUCGGAGGGGUCGGGCGAGACUGCGGGGCUCGAGGUGGGCAGAGGGCAGUGGAAUUCCGGGUGUAGUGGUGGAAUGCGUAGAGAUCCGGAGGAACACCAGUGGCGAAGGCGGCUGCCCUGGGCCUGGCCUGACGCUGAGG